rnacentral:rRNA from 1 species
GAUGAACGCUGGCGGCGUGCCUAAUACAUGCAAGUCGAGCGAACAGACGAGGAUCUUGCUCCUCUGACGUUAGCGGCGGACGGGUGAGUCAAACGUGGAUAACCUACCUAUAAGACUGGGUUGACUUCGGGAAACCGGAGCUAAUACCGGAUAAUAUAUUGAACCGCAUGGUUCAAUAGUGAACGACGGUUUUGCUGUCACUUAUAGAUGGAUCCGCGCCGCAUUAGCUAGUUGGUAAGGUAACGGCUUACCAAGGCAACGAUGCGUAGCCGACCUGAGAGGGUGAUCGGCCACACUGGAACUGAGACACGGUCCAGACUCCUACGGGAGGCAGCAGUAGGGAAUCUUCCGCAAAGGGCGAAAGCCUGACGGAGCAACGCCGCGUGAGUGAUGAAGGUCUUCGGAUCGUAAAACUCUGUUAUUAGGGAAGAACAAAUGUGUAAGUAACUAUGCACGUCUUGACGGUACCUAAUCAGAAAGCCACGGCUAACUACGUG